rnacentral:rRNA from 1 species
GACGUAGGUGGCAAGCGUUGUCCGGAUUUAUUGGGUUUAAAGGGUGCGUAGGCGGUUCCAUAAGUCAGUGGUGAAAUACGGCAGCUCAACUGUCGAGGUGCCAUUGAUACUGCGGAACUUGAGUACUGAUGAGGUAGGCGGAAUUGACGGUGUAGCGGUGAAAUGCUUAGAUAUCGUCAAGAACACCGAUAGCGAAGGCAGCUUACCAAGCAGUAACUGACGCUGAGGCACGAAAGUGCGGGGAUCAAACAGG